rnacentral:tRNA from 2 species
GCGCCGGUAGCUCAAUGGACAGAGCAUCUGACUACGGAUCAGAAGGUUGGGGGUUCGACUCCCUCCCGGCGCG